AAUCAACGCUGGCGGCGUGCCUCAGACAUGCAAGUCGAACGAGAAAGUCCCCUUCGGGGGAUAAGUAAAGUGGCGCACGGGUGAGUAACACGUAGGUAAUCUACCUUCGGGUGGGGAAUAACCCAGGGAAACUUGGGCUAACACCGCAUGAUGCAGCGGCACCACAUGGUGACAGUUGUUAAAGCGGGGGAUUUUAGGACCUCGCGCCUGAAGAGGAGCCUGCGGCGGAUUAGCUAGNGGUGAGGUAACGGCUCACCAAGGUCACGAUCCGUAGCCGGCCUGAGAGGGGCGGUCGGCCACACUGACACUGACAUACGGGUCAGACUCCUACGGGAGGCAGCAGUCGGGAAGUUUGGGCAAUGGGCGAAAGCCUGACCCCAGCAACGCCGCGUGAAGGAUGAAAUCCCUCGGGAUGUAAACUUCGCAAGAAUGGGAAGAAUUAGCGAGCGCUAAUACCGCUCGUGAUGACGGUACCAUUUGUAAGCUCCGGCUAACUCCG
rnacentral:rRNA from 1 species